GUCCACGCCCUAAACGAUGUCGACUGGUUGUUGGGGGUUUGACACUCUCAGUAACGAAGCUAACGCGUGAAGUCGACCGCCUGGGGAGUACGGCCGCAAGGUUAAAACUCAAAGGAAUUGACGGGGACCCGCACAAGCGGUGGAUUAUGUGGAUUAAUUCGAUGCAACGCGAAAAACCUUACCUACCCUUGACAUGUCCGAGAGGCUCCAGAGAUGGGGCUGUGCCCGAAAGGGAAUCGGAACACAGGUGCUGCAUGGCUGUCGU
rnacentral:rRNA from 1 species